rnacentral:rRNA from 1 species
GAACGCUAGCGACAGGCUUAACACAUGCAAGUCGAGGGGCAGCACAGGUAGCAAUACCGGGUGGCGACCGGCGCACGGGUGAGUAACGCGUAUGCAACUUACCUAUCAGAGGGGGAUAACCCGGCGAAAGUCGGACUAAUACCGCAUGAAGCAGGGGUCCCGCAUGGGGAUAUUUGCUAAAGAUUCAUCGCUGAUAGAUAGGCAUGCGUUCCAUUAGGCAGUUGGCGGGGUAACGGCCCACCAAACCGACGAUGGAUAGGGGUUCUGAGAGGAAGGUCCCCCACAUUGGUACUGAGACACGGACCAAACUCCUACGGGAGGCAGCAGUGAGGAAUAUUGGUCAAUGGCCGAGAGGCUGAACCAGCCAAGUCGCGUGAGGGAUGAAGGUUCUAUGGAUCGUAAACCUCUUUUAUAAGGGAAUAAAGUGCGGGACGUGUCCCGUUUUGUAUGUACCUUAUGAAUAAGGAUCGGCUAACUCCGUGCCAGCAGCCGCGGUAAUACGGAGGAUCCGAGCGUUAUCCGGAUUUAUUGGGUUUAAAGGGUGCGUAGGCGGCCUUUUAAGUCAGCGGUGAAAGUCUGUGGCUCAACCAUAGAAUUGCCGUUGAAACUGGGGGGCUUGAGUAUGUUUGAGGCAGGCGGAAUGCGUGGUGUAGCGGUGAAAUGCAUAGAUAUCACGCAGAACCCCGAUUGCGAAGGCAGCCUGCCAAGCCAUUACUGACGCUGAUGCACGAAAGCGUGGGGAUCAAACAGGAUUAGAUACCCUGGUAGUCCACGCAGUAAACGACGAUCACUAGCUGUUUGCGAUACACUGUAAGCGGCACAGCGAAAGCGUUAAGUGAUCCACCUGGGGAGUACGCCGGCAACGGUGAAACUCAAAGGAAUUGACGGGGGCCCGCACAAGCGGAGGAACAUGUGGUUUAAUUCGAUGAUACGCGAGGAACCUUACCCGGGUUUGAACGCAUUCGGACCGAGGUGGAAACACCUUUUCUAGCAAUAGCCGUUUGCGAGGUGCUGCAUGGUUGUCGUCAGCUCGUGCCGUGAGGUGUCGGCUUAAGUGCCAUAACGAGCGCAACCCUUGCCACUAGUUACUAACAGGUAAAGCUGAGGACUCUGGUGGGACUGCCAGCGUAAGCUGCGAGGAAGGCGGGGAUGACGUCAAAUCAGCACGGCCCUUACAUCCGGGGCGACACACGUGUUACAAUGGCGUGGACAAAGGGAAGCCACCUGGCGACAGGGAGCGAAUCCCCAAACCACGUCUCAGUUCGGAUCGGAGUCUGCAACCCGACUCCGUGAAGCUGGAUUCGCUAGUAAUCGCGCAUCAGCCAUGGCGCGGUGAAUACGUUCCCGGGCCUUGUACACACCGCCCGUCAAGCCAUGGGAGCCGGGGGUACCUGAAGUCCGUAACCGCGAGGAUCGGCCUAGGGUAAAACUGGUGACUGG